rnacentral:rRNA from 1 species
UAUGACCUACGGGAGGCAGCAGUGAGGAAUAUUGGUCAAUGGGAGAGAUCCUGAACCAGCCAAGCCGCGUGAGGGAAGACGGCCCUAUGAGUUGUAAACCUCUUUUGUCGGAGAACAAAACCCGGGACGUGUCCCGGACUGCGUGUAUCCGAAGAAAAAGCAUUGGCUAACUCCGUGCCAGCAGCCGCGGUAAUACGGAGGAUGCGAGCGUUAUCCGGAUUUAUUGGGUUUAAAGUGUGCGUAGGCGGUCCGUUAAGUCAGCGGUAAAAUUGCGGG